AUCACACUCUCCUAAACUUUUUAUUCGAUGGAAGUUGCAGGAGAGGGUGAAAAAGUUUAUCGAAUUGAAAGCAAGAUUGUGGAAGUUCAAAAAAAAAAAUUGUUGAUAGGAUAAAAGAAAGUAGAGCUGUCAACCCCCAGAAAGUGGGUUGAGAUUGAAUCAGGGUCGGGUCAACCCUAUCUCUCAAAACAUUGAAAAGUUUACUCUAAAGCUCCCGUAGUCGCCAAGUUACUUUUCUUUUUCCGACUCUCACUCAUUCUCUCUGAUCAAACCCUUGAGCUAGCAACCGCAACAUAGGUCGACGGCAGACGGCAGUACAGAGUCGACGGCAGGCGACGGCGCAUGGUGGACGGAAACACACAGUGAACGACGACACAAAGUAGAGUCAACGACACUUCACGGCAGCGGUGGUACAGGCGGCGAAGAAGAAUCAAGAUCUCUGAAGAACAAUGUAAUCAGACUAGUCUCUUUGGUUAAAAAUAGUCGAAGACUUGUGACUGUUGAUGAAAAUUUACCCAUGAAUCUUUACCUGGCUGCACCAUGAAAUUAGUACAAUGCCUUUGCCUUUAGCUAGCUUACCUCAAGAAGAAAUACAGCAGCAGAGCAGAAUAGGGUGGCUGCCAUUUUACAGGGCCACGCCUUUGACUUUGGCUUCAUCUGACUCAUGAAUAAUAAGGCUAAUGGAGUAAGAGAAAGGAUUCAAUCAAAAAAAGAGAAGAGGAGAACGAAUUCAGAAAGAGAGCCAGCAAUCUUCAAGAGCUCCAAGAGCCAAACAACACCAUCUUCACCGGCGCUUACAUAUAUUUCAACUACACGCAUGGCUUCUGAGUGUACCCAGAGGAAUGCUACCCUGCCAAUCUCCUUCUUCAAAGUCAUCCUUAAAACCAAUCUUCAAAGCGUUAAAAUACCAAAUUUAUUCACAGCCAAAUAUGGAGGUGGUUUGCCAAAUCCUUUGCUCAUGAAGCUUCCAAACGGAACUCAAUGGAAAGUGAUGUGGGAAAAAAACAAUGGUGAGAUUUGGUUGAAAGAGGGAUGGAAGGAAUUUGUGGAACAUUAUUCCUUGGAUCAUGGAUAUUUUGUUUUCUUUAAAUACGAAGGAACAUCUCGUAUUGAUGUAAACAUAUGUGACCAAAAUGGAGCGGAAAUAGACUAUCCUUGUGGCACUGGUAAUGGAAAUUACAACCUUGAUCAAAAUGAGGAAGAACCCGAUGAAGAAGAGAGGCCUGAACAAAUAGGAGGUAAGGUAAGAAGUCUGUUGAGAGAACUUCAUCUUUGAACCAGCCAAAUCAAACUAGGGCAAGAGAAAUAGCACGCAAUUUCAUUUCAUGCAAUCCCUUUUUCACUGUUGUCAUCAAACAUGCGGUGGCUUAUCGGCUGUACAUACCAGAUUUGGAAGGCAUUAUCGAAAAGAAAAAGUGUGUGGUGCUGCAGCGUGGAGAAAGAUCGUGGAAAGUAAAGUUGUUAUUUAAUAAAAAUUGUUUUUCUCGUUAUUGUUUCGGUGCUGGCAUUCACUUGUUUUUGACAGAAAAUGAAGUGAAAGAAGAAGAUGUUUGUAUAUUUGAAUUGAUUAGCAAGGAGGAUUGUAUUUUUAAAGUUCAUAUUUUCUAAAGAGACCACUAAUUUCUGCAUGAAAGCCGUGGUCUUACCGAGGAAUUUGAAGGAAAAUGUUGUAAAGAAACAAAGAUAUUGUAAUGGGAUGAUGUUCCAAGUAUUAGACAUUUAAACAGUGUUAAUGUUAUCUAA